GGCCCCAUUCUCCUAAAGUUCCAAGAACUCUUCCUCUCCUCUGCUGCAUGCAUGUAUUGAUUCUAUCAACAGAUGUACAGGGUCUGAGCUGGAGAGUCAAGGAUUGGGCAUGAGGCCUUGGGUCAAAAUUGGUGGAACUUGCUUCCUUAAUACAUAUCCAAAUGAUACAGUCUUGGUGAUUUGGAGAAGUACCUAAGAAGGGGUUUGGAAUGAGCAAUGAGCCAGAUGCACAGCGUAAUCCAUGCGUAAUUUGGAAGCCUGUCUCAUUGCAAGGCAAAAUCAUGUCCUGAUUUUUUUUUUGAAAGUUUACUGUGGAUGCUGACUCCAGGAAUGAAAGGUGAGAGGUGUGUUUGUGAGAAGUCAGAGCAUAGUGUUUACUUCUACUUUUCACAAAUUUUCUGGAAUCCUAAGUAGUG